AUUUUGCAACGGAAAUCAGGUGAGAAGAGGACGAACCCGUCCGAUUCUUUAAAAGGGAAUCCGGUGAGAUGCCGGAACAGUACCCGCUACUGUAAGAUCCGAUUCCUCAACGGAAUAAGGGAAGUGCUACAGCCACUGUUUGUACGACGAUCCGAUCGUACGAAUGGGAAGGUCCUAAGGAUCGAGUCAGGAGACCUGCCCGAUUGCCACAGUUAAC
rnacentral:ncRNA from 2 species